GCGGAGGGAUCAUUACACAACAAAAUAUGAAGGCCUGGCUUUCGCGGCCGGCUGAAGUAUUUUUUUCACCCAUGUCUUUUGCGCACUUGUUGUUUCCUGGGCGGGUUCGCCCGCCACCAGGACCAAACCAUAAACCUUUUUUUCUUAUGCAGUUUCCAUCAGCGUCAGUAAAAACAAUGUAAUUAUUACAACUUUCAACAACGGAUCUCUUGGUUCUGGCAUCGAUGAAGAACGCAGCGAAAUGCGAUACGUAGUGUGAAUUGCAGAAUUCAGUGAAUCAUCGAAUCUUUGAACGCACAUUGCGCCCUUUGGUAUUCCAAAGGGCAUGCCUGUUCGAGCGUCAUUUGUACCUUCAAGCUUUGCUUGGUGUUGGGCGUUUUUUUGUCUCCCUCUUUCUGGGAGACUCGCCUUAAAACGAUUGGCAGCCGGCCUACUGGUUUCGGAGCGCAGCACAUUUUUUGCGCUUUGUAUCAGGAGAAAAGGACGGUACUCCAUCAAGACUCUACAUUUUUCACUUUUGACCUCGGAUCAGGUAGGGAUACCCGCUGAACUUAAGCAUA
rnacentral:rRNA from 1 species